UACAGAGGGGGCAAGCGUUGUUCGGAAUUACUGGGCGUAAAGGGCGCGUAGGCGGCCUGCUAAGUCGAACGUGAAAUCCCCGGGCUCAACCCGGGAACUGCGUCCGAUACUGGCAGGCUUGAAUUCGGGAGAGGGAUGCGGAAUUCCAGGUGUAGCGGUGAAAUGCGUAGAUAUCUGGAGGAACACCGGUGGCGAAGGCGGUUCUCUGGGCCUGUACUGACGCUGAGGAGCGAAAGCGUGGGGAGCGAACAGG
rnacentral:rRNA from 1 species